GAUGAACGCUGGCGGCGUGCCUAAUACAUGCAAGUCGAGCGAACAGACGAGGAGCUUGCUCCGCUGACGUUAGCGGCGCACGGGUGAGUAACACGUGCAUAACCUACUUAUAAGACUGGGCUAAAUUUGGGACCCCGGAGCUAAUACCGGAUAAUAUUUUGAACCGCAUGGUUCAAUAGUGAAACACGGUUUUUCUGUCACUUAUAGAUGGAUCCGCGCCGCAUUAGCUAGUUGGUAAGGUAACGGCUUACUAAGGCGACUAAGCGUAGCCGACCUGAGAGGGUGAUCGGCCACACUGGAAGUGAGACACGGUCCAGACUCCUACGGGAGGCAGCAGUCGGGAAUCUUCCGCAAUGGGCGAAAGCCUGACGGAGCAACGCCGCGUGAAUGAUGAAGGUCUUCGGAUCGUAAAACUCUGUUAUUAGGGAAGAACAAAUGUGUAAGUAACUGUGCACGUCUUGACGGUACCUGAUCAGAAAGCCACGGCUAACUACGUG
rnacentral:rRNA from 1 species